GCAUAAACCAGUUACAGCCAUUGGUGGAUGCCUUGGCGUCAUAUGGCGAUGAAGGACGCAGCAAGCUGCGAUAAGCUUCGGGGAGCGGCACGCACGCUUUGAUCCGGAGAUUUCCGAAUGGGGAAACCCAAUACCGGUAAUUCGGUAUUACUCCUGGUUGAAUAUAUAGGCCAGGUAGAGCGACACGCGGUGAAGUGAAACAUCUCAGUAACCGCAGGAAAAGAAAGAGAAUCGAUUCCGUAAGUAGCGGCGAGCGAACGCGGAACAGCCCAAACCAAAAGGAUUUAUCCUUUUGGGGUUGUAGGACCAUAACAUGGAAAGCGACUGCUAGGAGAACGUUCUGGAAAGGACGACCAAAGAGGGUGACAGUCCCGUAUUUGAAAGCUCGAGCAAUCCUAUUGGUAUCCUGAGUAGCACCGGACACGUGAAACCCGGUGUGAAUCUGCGCCGACCACGGCGUAAGGCUAAAUACAAGAUGACGACCGACAGUGAACUAGUACCGCGAGGGAAAGGUGAAAAGCACCCCUGUUAGGGGAGUGAAAUAGUAACUGAAACCGAUGGCUAACAAAUCAGUAGGAGCUGCCUUGUGCAGUGACUGCCUGCCUUUUGUAUAAUGAGUCUGCGAGUUAAUGUCCGUAGCAAGCCUAAGCUGCUAAGCAGUGGAGGCGCAGCGAAAGCGAGUCUGAAUAGGGCGUCAAGUUGCUGGCAUUAGACCCGAAGGGGAGGUGAUCUAACCAUGACCAGGAUGAAGCGUUGGUAAAACAACGUGGAGGUCCGAACCGGUGUAUCUUGAGAAAUGCUCGGAUGAGUUGUGGUUAGGAGCGAAAGACUAAUCAAACCCCCUGAUAGCUGGUUCUUUCCGAAAUAUAUUGAGGUAUAGCGUCGAGCGCUGACCUAUGGAGGUAGAGCACUGAAUAAGCUAGGGCCCCUACCGGGGUACUGAACUUUAUCAAACUCCGAAUGCCAUAGGGUGUAGCUCGGCAGUCAGACGGCGGGUGCUAACGUCCGUCGUCGAGAGGAGAAUAAUCCAGACCAUCGGUUAAGGUCCCAAAAUGUAGCUCAGUGGAAAAGGAUGUGAUUUUACUUAGACAAUGGGGAUGUUGGCUUAGAGGCAGCCACCAUUUAAACAGUGCGUAAUAGCUGACCCAUCGAGUGAAAUUGCGCCGAAAAUGAUCGGGACUUAAGCUACAUACCGAAGCCGUGGAUUUCAGCAUUCGCUGGAGUAGUAGGAAAGCGUUCCAAGUGCAGCGAAGGAGAAGGGGCAACCGACUCUGGAGCGCUUGGAAGUGAGAAUGCAGACAUGAGUAACGAUAAAGAUGGUUAAAUUCCAUCUCGCCGUAAGGAUAAGGUUUCCUGGGGAAGGUUCGUCCGCCCAGGGUUAGCCGGGAGCUAAGACGAGGCCGUAAGGAGUAGUCGAUGCACAGGAGGUUAAUAUUCCUCCGCCGGCUUGCAACUAUCCCUAGAGUGCUGAUCGAGGGACCCUACAGACCUGUUAUGACAAGGCACUGCAAAGCUACGG
rnacentral:rRNA from 1 species